CAAAAAAUUGGAUAUGACGAGCGUGGUUUUGGAUUUUCAUAGGAAGGCCAUUGGCCACAUGACAUGAGAGCCGUUUAAGCCGCCGUUAAAUAUGGAUGGAAGACAUCCGUCAGUGCCUGAGAAGUUGA